UACAGAGGUCUCAAGCGUUGUUCGGAUUCAUUGGGCGUAAAGGGUGCGUAGGCGGUCCGCCAAGUCCGGUGUGAAAUCCCCCGGCUCAACCGGGGAAUAGCGCUGGAAACUAGCGGGCUGGAGCGAGGCAGGGGUGUGUGGAACUUCCGGUGGAGCGGUGAAAUGUGUAGAUAUCGGAAGGAACGCCGGUGGCGAAAGCGGCACACUGGGCCUUGUCUGACGCUGAGGCACGAAAGCUAGGGGAGUGAACGGG
rnacentral:rRNA from 1 species